rnacentral:rRNA from 1 species
UACAGAGGGGGCAAGCGUUAUUCGGAAUUAUUGGGCGUAAAGGGCGCGUAGGCGGCAUGGCAAGUGGAUGGUGAAAUCCCUCGGCUUAACCGAGGAACUGCCGUCCAAACUGCUUCGCUUGAGACCGGGAGAGGUGAGUGGAAUUCCCAGUGUAGCGGUGAAAUGCGUAGAUAUCUGGAGGAACACCGGUGGCGAAGGCGGCAUCCUGGACCAACACUGACGCUGAGGAGCGAAAGCCAGGGGAGCAAACGGG